UACGGAGGGUGCGAGCGUUGUCCGGAAUCAUUGGGCGUAAAGGGCGCGUAGGUGGCCACUUCAAGCGUGCGGUGAAAGUCGGGGGCUCAACCCCUGAUCGGCCGUGCGAACUGGGGGGCUGGAGCACUGUAGAGGCAGGCGGAAUUCCGGGUGUAGCGGUGGAAUGCGUAGAUAUCAGGAAGAACAUCGGUGGCGAAGGCGCUCUGCUGGACCAUAACUGACACUCAGGGACGAAAGCUAGGGGAGCGAAUGGG
rnacentral:rRNA from 1 species